rnacentral:tRNA from 1 species
GCGCCCGUAGCUCAAUGGAUAGAGUAUCUGGUUCCGAACCAGAAGGUUGUGGGUUCGACCCCCGCCGGGCGUACUA